rnacentral:rRNA from 1 species
UACGAAGGGGGCUAGCGUUGCUCGGAAUCACUGGGCGUAAAGGGUGCGUAGGCGGGUCUUUUAAGUCAGGGGUGAAAUCCUGGAGCUCAACUCCAGAACUGCCUUUGAUACUGAAGAUCUUGAGUUCGGGAGAGGUGAGUGGAACUGCGAGUGUAGAGGUGAAAUUCGUAGAUAGUCGGAGGAACACCAGUGGCGAAGGCGGCCGCCUGGACCUGGACCUGACGCUGAGGCGGCGAAGGCGGUGGGAGACCGAA